GGCAGGGUUUCAUAUUUUAUUGAAGCAGCCCUGGGCACCGCCAUUAGCUAGCGGACCCCCACCUGCUUUUAGCAUUCCAUUGACUCCCAUUCAUUUUGGCGUCACUUUGACAGUGAAUAACUUUACAUCUGAGGCGUUUAAAGACUCAAUUUGUGCAUCAAUUAUUUCUAAAGAAACACGAAAAUGUAUAAAAGGCUCCAUUACCUUGUAUCUUACGUUAUGGCCCAGUAGAAGCAGUUUUAGUAAAACUAUGCUAACGAUUGCGUCAUUAGCACGCGACUCUCUGUCGCACAGUAGAGAAAUUACCGUAUGGACAGGAGGAGAAGCGCAUGUGGAAUAUGGCGUACUGGUGUUUAACUUUAAAAUAAAUAAAUACUAUGCAAAAUGACAAAGUAAUUAAUCAUAAUACUAAAUAUACUUAAUACAAAAUGUACUCCUGUUCACGCUCGCCGUUUCUUCAAGAUUCGGUGGGUGAUUCAGAUUUAUCUUGGCACAACUAUUAGAAGACUUACAAUUGUCACACAGGUUGCUCACGUCACCAAGCUCAGUUUGAGUCUGCGCAGUACGCUCGACCCCCCGGAAGUGUGAGCUUCUAAUUGGCUUCACUUGUCUCCGUUGAAUCCAACGGGGUCGCUGUGUCCAUUUCUUUUACUGUCUAUGGUAAUAGUAAGACGAUUGUUUAUAGCUCUCUUUCAACUUUAGCGUAAUGACAAAUAACGUUACUGCCGUAAAUGUUUUAAAUUGAGGGCACGGAGGAAGCUUCAUAAGACGCUCUUUUUUUUAUUAUUUUUUUUUAUUAACUUGAAAUCACAUUACAUCAAUACUCAUAAUAACAUACAAAAUAGAAAUUACAAUCAGACAAUACAAACAAACAAAUAAAAAAGUAUAAACAUACAAAUUAAGUAUAAAAAAAAAAAAAAAAAAAAAAUAAGGGCAUGAGAUCAUCAUACAAAUAACGUAAAAGCUUCACAUAAGGACCUAGUGCGUUUUGCUUUAUUAUUUUUCAAUCCAAGAAGUAACUCUACAUAAUGUUUCAUAUCUAUCUGAAAUAACAAAAAGUUAGGUUUUCCUUUAGCCCAUUUUUGUUUAUGUAUAUGGUAUUUUCCCAUAAUCAAUAAAAGAUUAACAACAAAAGUCUCAUUUGGUGGCAAUUUUUCUCUAUUAAAAUAAAAAAAUACAUCUUUCUCAAAAAGGUAAACUUUAAUACCAAAACACUUAUAAAGGAGGCCUUCCAAUUCUAUCCAAAACAUUUUGCUAUAUAUACAAUUGAAAAAUAAGUGUACAACAUCCUCCUUUUCUGUCCCACAAAAAUCACAUCAACAUCUGACAUCAGCAUCAUCAUUAAACCUAAGAAAAAGUGUUUUAACAGGGUACACCAAAUGAAGUAUUUUAAAAUGUACUUCUCUCACCUUAUUUGUUAUACAAUAUUUUUUCGGCAGCAACCAUGCAUAUUUCCAUUCAAUGCACUCAAAUGUAGAAUGCCAAAAUGUUCUAGAAGAUAUUGGGCUAUAUUCUGUAAGUAACUUCCUAGUAAAAUAAUUAUUCCAUCUUUUAUCAGUAAUGAUCACUCCUUCAAGUGCAAUAUCAGGUUUAAAACUCACAUUCUCAUUAUACACAUAUCCUUUAAACAGACAUUUUAAACCAGAUGGUAUAGCAUCGAACACUAUACAAUAUUCUUUAGGGACUAUUGGAAUAUUGUACGCUUCAUAAGACGCUCGGAUGGUCUUAUAUUGUCUCAUUCAUCGUCAUUGUUAACGUGGGUAGACAAUAUGGCCAUAUACGGCAUAUAUGGACAUAUUUACCAUCCUAAAAUUAUUAAAGUACCGAGGCAUACCAAUAUUUAAAUCGUGAACUGUUACACAGUGAGGGUGAUUUCGUCUUUUUUUUUUAAGUAAAUGUGCACCUCAGACAGUUUAAUAUGUAUUAAACCAAGAUGAAAUUCACUUGCAAACUUAAUUCUUUUUAAGAUUUAAGAGGAAUCUACAGAGCUCACGUGGUUUUAUAAGAAAUGGCUACUAACAGAUAACAUCUGGUGAUAUUGUGAAGGUUUAUAAAAAUAACUAUUCACAACAGGUAACAUUGUAAAGGUGUAUAAAAAUAACUAUUCACAACAGGUAACAUCUGGUGACAUUGUAAAGGUUUAUAAAAAUAACUAUGCACAACAUGUAACAACUGGUGACAUUGUAAAGGUUUAUAAAAUAAUUAUUCACAACAGGUAACAUCUGGUGACAUUGUGAAGGUUUAUAAAAAUAACUAUUCACACAGGUAACAUUGUAAAGGUGUAUACAAAUAACUAU